AUGCUUUAUACUCCGGCACUACUAGGAAGAGAGUACAAGAUUCCAUGGAUGAAUGACUAUUACAGUAUUUUUUUUUCUACAGACUUAGUGAUAAUUCACCCUGUAUCCAUAUCAAUUCCCAACUCACUGAUGGCAGAAAAAUUGGAAGGAUCACCAUCUACGUUAAUAAGACCUUUAGGCAUCACAAGCCAAAUCCAUUACAGUGAGAUGAGGCCACCAGACUUGAAUGCAAGAAGGCACACGGGGGCUAUUGGGCAUGGCCAUCUGUGCCUUUUUCUCAGGCGAGUCCACUGCAAUAACUUAGGGUUAGGGUUUAAGCUAUCACAUUUAACUGGUGCUCUUGUCCAGAGACCUCCAUGUGCUGGGGAAUCUAGAGUAAGCUGAGGAAUGUCCUCAUCACGCUGCGAGAUUGGGCAUGAAAUUUGCCAAGGUGCAAACAACGUUGGAAGAGCAACGAGUUGGUUCAGGUUGUGCACUUUAUAUAGGGAGAACUCAGGAGUGGGUUGGGUUUUCCAGAGUUCAAUUAAAAUGUUUCAUCCUCCAGGCUUUGUGUUGUUGGGCUGAACAGUGCUAAUCUGUUUUGGCCCCACCUCUUACUCAUUCUAGCCUCUACACCAAGCAGAACAACAACAAAAAAUUAACUAUGUGACAGUUUCUCCUGAGGACGUUGCUUAAGACAAUUCUGGGUUACGGAAGUUGUCCUUGAAAAAUUUUUAAAAGACAGCAUUUUCAGUAGGAAUUGCUAGCACCAUGGCAGUUUAAUGUUGACACACAGUGUAUUCUCUCAGGAAUUUUCUCUCAUCUAUCAACCCAGCCAGCCAGCCAGUAAACAAUGUUUAACACAUGCUAGGUACAAACCACCAUGUUUAGCACUGGGGAGGGCUAUGUAUGUAUGUAUUUUGGUACAUACACUGAGGUGCUGAAUUACGUUGCAUUUAGCAGAGAGACACCUAAGGUAUUCCAGCACCAUUUUCUGAGUGAACUGUCACUUCCCCUAUACCUGGGAAGACCUCUUUGAUUUCCCACUAAUAGGAACUGUAGAACUUAUUUAUGUACACGAAAGGCUCUGCCCCUGGGCUUUCUAUUCUGUUCUAGAGACCCAGUACCAGAAUAUUUAAAUCACGGUGGCGUUAAACACGUUUUAAUAUCUGAUAGGGCCAGUUUCUGCGCAUUGCACAUUUUUUUUUUUUUUUUCCUUUCAGGAACGUGUUCGGGCCCGCGGCAGGGGGCGGGGUCGCGCCUCCUCCGCGGCUCUGGUUCCAGUGGAGUCUCACGGACGCGGAGAUGGAAAUCCCGAGGCUGCUCCCGGCUCGCGGGACGCGACAGGGCGGCGGCGCUGGCAGCCCCGGGGGCG
rnacentral:lncRNA from 1 species